UACGAAGGGGGCUAGCGUUGUUCGGAAUUACUGGGCGUAAAGGGCGCGCAGGCGGUCCUUCAAGUCAGGCGUGAAAGCCCCGGGCUCAACCUGGGAAUAGCGCUUGAGACUGAGGGACUUGAGUUCGGGAGAGGAGAGCGGAAUUCCCAGUGUAGAGGUGAAAUUCGUAGAUAUUGGGAAGAACACCGGUGGCGAAAGCGGCGCACUGGACCAUAACUGACGCUGAUGCGCGAAAGCUAGGGGAGCAAACAGG
rnacentral:rRNA from 1 species